AUGGGAAAAAUGACCAAAAAUACAGUAUUCCAUACUUCACUGUCAGCUCCUCAGUUAACGAAAUAUCAACAAGUUUGUAUAGAGGAUUUAUUAGAAGAUGGCAUGUUAAAUUAUCCAGUCAUAAGAGCUAAACUAUUCACCAUACGGAUGGAAGAAAGCAAUCUCCUAACAAUCUAGAGUUGUCUGAUCUAUGUUGUGAAAAUCACUGAGCUGUGGAAUGUAGGUGACAUCAGUGCUGAACAGUGAAAUACUAUGUGCAGGACCCAACGUCUGCUAUUCUGAAGGUUCUUUUAUCUCACUUUGUCAAAGACACAAAUCUAUAGGUUUGUACUAACGUUAGUGUAGGUUUUUCCUUUUCUGUGAUAAGGUGUUGCAAUUACAUUGGAUUUAAGGUCAUCAUAAGCUCCCAUGUUCUUUUUGUGAAAGUAAGAAGUAUGGGAAUACAAACUGAUGAAGAAUGCACUUAGUACUUAAAUCUGGGGAGUACAUUUUGUGGCAUAAUUCUCAGUUCAGACAAUUCCCAGUGGAAAAGAACAUCAAAGAUUUCUUUUUAAAGCUUCACCUAGUUUCCUUUCCAAGGGCCAAGAUGCAUUGCUUGGCUCGCUCAUUUUAGUUUCUUUAGCAUGUCUUAUUGCUGUAGCACUUUUUGAAUUUUUUUGGUUCUUUUGGAAAACUUUAUUGAGGAAGAGAUUAAAAUGAUAACUGCAAACUGCAGGGGACUCUUUAUAGUUUGUAACCUAAAAAGUAAGGUGGAAAUUCAAGAUGAACUAAGAGAAGAACUUCUGUUUUUAAUCUAUGUUUUAGGCAAUGAUUGAUACCAAGAAAUAUGGAGACAGAGCUUUCCUUGUAGGCAAUGAAAAAAAAAAAAACCACAUAUAUUUGGCAUAAAAUUAAAUAAGAACCAUGAUAUAUUUCUGAACAAAACAAAACAAAACAAAACAAUCUCACAAUGCUUGUUACUUAACACUCCUUGUUCAUAAUAAUAUUGAUAUGGUUACAUAAUUGACACAUGAAAGACAUAUUAUUUAUGAUCUGUUAUCUGGUAAAUAUUCAAUAAAAGCUGAAACGUUCAGAAACUCA
rnacentral:lncRNA from 1 species